rfam:Xenopus laevis strain J chromosome 5L, whole genome shotgun sequence.
UGAAGUCAAUUCAAAUAAAUAAUUAUUAAUGUUACUGAUAAAUAUUUCUUCCAGUCUGCCAGUUUAAUACCAGUGACUAUUAGACCCGCUAGGGUCUUGCCUGGGAUAAAUUUAGCCACAGAAAUGA